AAAACGGAGAGUUUGAUCCUGGCUCAGGAUGAACGCUGGCGGUAUGCUUAACACAUGCAAGUCGAACGAACUCUUCGGAGUUAGUGGCGGACGGGUGAGUAACGCGUGAGAAUCUAGCUUCAGGUCAGGGACAACCACUGGAAACGGUGGCUAAUACCGGAUGUGCCGAAAGGUGAAAGGCUUGCUGCCUGAAGAUGAGCUCGCGUCUGAUUAGCUAGUAGGUGGGGUAAGAGCCUACCUAGGCGACGAUCAGUAGCUGGUCUGAGAGGAUGACCAGCCACACUGGGACUGAGACACGGCCCAGACUCCUACGGGAGGCAGCAGUGGGGAAUUUUCCGCAAUGGGCGAAAGCCUGACGGAGCAAUACCGCGUGAGGGAGGAAGGCUCUUGGGUUGUAAACCUCUUUUCUCAGGGAAGAACACAAUGACGGUACCUGAGGAAUCAGCAUCGGCUAACUCCGUGCCAGCAGCCGCGGUAAUACGGAGGAUGCAAGCGUUAUCCGGAAUGAUUGGGCGUAAAGCGUCCGCAGGUGGCUGUGUAAGUCUGCUGUCAAAGAGCGAAGCUCAACUUCGUAAAGGCAGUGGAAACUACACGGCUAGAGUGCGUUCGGGGCAGAGGGAAUUCCUGGUGUAGCGGUGAAAUGCGUAGAGAUCAGGAAGAAC
rnacentral:rRNA from 1 species